UNUGACUUGAGUGCAGAAGGGGAGAGUGGAAUUCCAUGUGUAGCGGUGAAAUGCGUAGAUAUAUGGAGGAACACCAGUGGCGAAAGCGGCUCUCUGGUCUGUCACUGACGCUGAGGCUCGAAAGCGUGGGUAGCGAACAGGAUUAGAUACCCUGGUAGUCACGCCGUAAACGAUGAGUGCUAGGUGUUAGGCCCUUUCCGGGGCUUAGUGCCGGAGCUAACGCAAUAAGCACUCCGCCUGGGGAGUACGACCGCAAGGUUGAAACUCAAAGGAAUUGACGGGGGCCCGCACAAGCGGUGGAGCAUGUGGUUUAAUUCGAAGCAACGCGAAGAACCUUACCAGGUCUUGACAUCCCGAUGCUAUUCUUAGAGAUAGGAAGUUAGUUCGGUACAUCGGAGACAGGUGGUGCAUGGUUGUCGUCAGCUCGUGUCGUGAGAUGUUGGGUUAAGUCCCGCAACGAGCGCAACCCUUAUUGUUAGUUGCCAUCAUUAAGUUGGGCACUCUAGCGAGACUGCCGGUAAUAAACCGGAGGAAGGUGGGGAUGACGUCAAAUCAUCAUGCCCCUUAUGACCUGGGCUACACACGUGCUACAAUGGUCGGUACAACGAGUUGCGAGCCGGUGACGGCAAGCUAAUCUCUGAAAGCCGAUCUCAGUUCGGAUUGGAGGCUGCAACUCGCCUCCAUGAAGUCGGAAUCGCUAGUAAUCGCGGAUCAGCACGCCGCGGUGAAUACGUUCCCGGGCCUUGUACACACCGCCCGUCACACCACGAGAGUUUGUAACACCCGAAGUCGGUGAGGUANCCUUUUAGGG
rnacentral:rRNA from 1 species